rnacentral:rRNA from 1 species
UACGAAGGGGGCUAGCGUUGCUCGGAAUCACUGGGCGUAAAGGGUGCGUAGGCGGGUCUUUAAGUCAGGGGUGAAAUCCUGGAGCUCAACUCCAGAACUGCCUUUGAUACUGAGGAUCUUGAGUUCGGGAGAGGUGAGUGGAACUGCGAGUGUAGAGGUGAAAUUCGUAGAUAUUCGCAAGAACACCGGUGGCGAAGGCGGCAUCCUGGACCGGUAUUGACGCUGAGUGAGCGAAAGCCAGGGGAGCAAACGGG